CCGUAAUAACAAAACAGAGUCAUGAGAACAUUCGUAGUAAAUACAUAUUGGUGGUGGCGCUUCGUACAACUCAAAAGGUCGUAAGGAACGAAGACUCGUAUGUAUAUAUAAACACUACAUAAAGAUAUAAAGAGGUCUGUC
rnacentral:ncRNA from 1 species